rnacentral:tRNA from 1 species
AUAGAGCCUUAGUAGUAUAACCAAUACACUGGUCUUGUAAAACCGGAG